GUGUCAGCCGCCGCGGUAAUACGGAGGAUCCGAGCGUUAUCCGGAUUUAUUGGGUUUAAAGGGUGCGCAGGCGGGAAGUUAGGUCGGCGGUGAAAUUUCGGGGCUCAACCCCGAGAGUGCCGUUGAAACCGGUUUUCUUGAGUGCGGAUGAGGUAGGCGGAAUUUGUGGUGUAGCGGUGAAAUGCGUAGAUAUCACAAGGAACACCGAUUGCGGAGGCAGCUUACUAAACCGUUACUGACGCUCAUGCACGAAGGCGUGGGGAUCAAACAGGAUUAGAUACCCUGGUAGUCCACGCAGUAAACGAUGAUUACUAGCUGUUUGCGAUACAGUGUAAGCGGCUUAGCGAAAGCGUUAAGUAAUCCACCUGGGGAGUACGUUUGCAAGAAUGAAACUCAAAUAAAUUGACGG
rnacentral:rRNA from 1 species